rnacentral:lncRNA from 1 species
GUGAGCCGGUGGGGGAGGGAGCGCAACUGCAAGGGUUGUCCCGGGACAGUGCCGGUACGAACCUCACCCCGCCGCCACCCCCGGGCCAGCUGCUGCAGUCAAUAAGGCGAGGGCCUAGCAGGCGCUCGUCGCCCUCCUGGUGGGGUUCGCUCGGGUGUUCCUACCAGGGUUGAAGAGGGCUAGGGAGCUGAGCUCCGGAAGGGCGGACUAGAGGCCCCAGCGGCCACUCCUAGAGAGGCGGGCAGCUCGGGAGGUCUGAGCGCAGAGGGCGGGCGGAGCCGCACGUUGCGUGGAAUCCCCUAGUUCAUUCCCGGGAGAGCCCCGGGCGCAGGACAGAGCGGUGGAGGGGCGCCUGGGAGCUCUGGGGGACACCAAGAGAAGAGAGGUUAGGGCCAGUGCGCAGCAAACGGGGAGGAACUACGACGCGCUGGGUAGAAAGAGUAAGAGAGGCGCACCCACUUUGCUGGUGAGGGGGGCACACGGGGAGCCUAAGAAAGGCCUAAAGAGGUAGUGGGUGUGAGCCAGCCUCGGGCGCGUUAAAAAGGGGGCGCCGGAGGGAGGCAAGGAGAGGAAGUUGGGUGUAGGAAGAAGCGAGAGGAAACUGUUGCCUGGACAGAGCGUGCCGUGCCAAAGCGCGGAAACGGGAUCAAGGAGGGGGCAUCAGGAAUCGCCUGGGGACCCCCCGGAGAGUGGCGGAAGCGGUGCCCUUGGGCGCAGCAAAGAGAGAAGGGAGCACAGGCUGAGAUAGAGACAGUCCUGGGCGCUGGAGAGCAGGAGCCCCCGGAGCGGCAGGGAAAGGAACGUAGAGCCUGCAUGCUCGGGGUAUGAGCUUACUGCGCUCGCUAGGGUGGCGCGCACUGGGGCUCUAGAAAAGAGGGUUGAGAAGCCCCGGGCAAGUGCCUAGGAAGGUCAGAGGAGUCAGCAAAGUCCACGGAAGAACUUCCCCGGGUUGGAGAGGAAACGCACCCUGGGAGCUGGAAAGAAGAGGAAAGCUAGCCUGGGGGAAGCUUGAUCAGGGCUCUGAGUACCACGAGGAGUGCAGAGGAGGUGCUGAUGAUUGCGGGGAGAGCUCUGAGAGCCCGAGAAAGAUGGGGAAACUGAAGCCCUAGAGGAAAAGAAGACUAAAUGUAUUACCAUCUGACCCACUUCCUGGCCAGCCUGUUCACCUGUCUGCUGUUCUUCAUUGUUGGGCUGCCUUCUUUUGAUCAAAGCACCUGGAUUUUCAUCUUGGGACUUAUCCCUUCUCCAUCCUCAGUACAUGUUGCUCAAAUGUGGGUAACCCUGGUCUCUGGGCUCCAAGUGAAUAACUCAGGGGUGAUUCUUUUGCGACCCUUGAUGUUUCUUUACAGAAAGAGAAGCUUAUUUUUUUUUCCCUGCUGUUCCUAAGCCAGAAGAAUUUAAACCUGGAGCUGCUGGUGGCCAUUUUGACACUCAAUAAAGAGCUCUUGCCUGAGAAUGAAACCAUCACAAAUGGAAAUAGAGACAAUGAAUAUAGGCAGAUUCUUGAUGACUUUGUCUAAACUCUUGGAUCUAGCUAUGCCUGAAACCUUAGAGUUUCUGUAAUGUGAACCUCUGAUUCCAAUAUUUUUUGCUUGUGUAAAUUUGAGAGGGUUUUGUUACUUGCAACUAAAAGAUUUUUGAUAAAAUAGACCUGUGAUAGACUUGAGCUCUCCCUCUCCCUCUCCCUCUCGUCUCCCUCUCCCUCUCCCUCUCCCUCUCCCCAUGGUCUCCCUCUCCCCAUGGUCUCCCUCUCCCUCUCUUUCCACGGUCUCCCUCUCAUGCCAAGCCGAAGCUGGACUAUACUGCUG